UACGUAGGUGACAAGCGUUGUCCGGAUUUACUGGGCGUAAAGAGCGCGCAGGCGGUCGUUCAAGUCGAGUGUGAAAGCCCCCGGCUCAACUGGGGAGGGUCACUCGAUACUGAUCGACUCGAAGGCAGGAGAGGGAAGUGGAAUUCCCGGUGUAGUGGUGAAAUGCGCAGAUAUCAGGAGGAACACCGGUGGCGAAGGCGGAUCGUCUGGGCCUGUCCUGACGCUGAGGCGGCGAAAGCUA
rnacentral:rRNA from 1 species